CUUGACAUCCAGCGAACUUGGCAGAGAUGCCUUGGUGCCUUCGGGAACGCUGAGACAGGUGCUGCAUGGCUGUCGUCAGCUCGUGUUGUGAAACGUUGGGUUAAGUCCCGCAACGAGCACAACCCUUAUCCUUUGUUGCCAGCGAUUCGGUCGGGAACUCAAAGGAGACUGCCGGUGAUAAACCGGAGGAAGGUGGGGAUGACGUCAAGUCAUCAUGGCCCUUACGAGUAGGGCUACACACGUGCUACAAUGGCGCAUACAAAGAGAAGCGACCUCGCGAGAGCAAGCGGACCUCAUAAAGUGCGUCGUGGUCCGGAUCGGAGUCUGCAACUCGACUCCGUGAAGUCGGAAUCGCUAGUAAUCGUGGAUCAGAAUGCCACGGUGAAUACGUUCCCGGGCCUUGUACACACCGCCCGUCACACCAUGGGAGUGGGUUGCAAAAGAAGUAGGUAGCUUAACCUUCGGGAGGGCGCUUACCACUUUGUGAUUCAUGACUGGGGUGAAGUCGUAACAAGGUAGGCGUAGCGAG
rnacentral:rRNA from 1 species